CCAGACCUCACCACCUUUCUCUAAAUACAUUUUUUCCUGCCCUCCCCAUUUCCCUCUUUCCUCCUUAUCUACCCAUUUCCUUCUGUAUUUUUUCCCACCCUCCCGCUUUCCACCCCUCUCUCAUUAUCCCUCGCUCCCCCUCUAGAUGAUCAAGAAGCACAGAAGAAGAAAGCUCAGGAGGAGAUCCAGGCGUUGAAACAGCAGAUUCUGGAGCGGGACAAGGCACUGUGUGCCUUUGUGGACCAGACCAAUGAGGAAGGACGGAAGCUGUGUGGAAUCACAGAGGCCCCAAAAUGAAGACUUGGACGACACUAUCAGCCUCCCUCCCUCCCUCAUGCUUGCCGUGAUGCACACACACCCAUACACAUCAUCGUUGUGCAGCUCAUAACAUUCACCACCUACAACCACCUUCACUUCACUGUACCUCUCAAUACUCAGGAAAAUAAAAACAAGAAGGGUUUGGAAAACCCAGUGUUAGUUUAUGUAUGCAGGUAAGGAAGGGAGACAUUACAUUUUUAAUUAGUGAGUUUCAUCCUAUGGUACAGUACAUUAAUGUAGGAAUGACUGAAAGAGGUUAGGGCUAAUUCCCUUAGAGAUGGAGCAAGGUGUCUCUGAGGUGACUUCUGAAUGUUGCAAAGGUUCUAGAGAAGAGUGCAGGUGCAUGCCCAUCUGGUUCAAUUGUCUAUUAAAUAUUUAUUAUGCAUGGUUGUAUGAUUGACCUUUAUAGUGCAUAGAUGUAUGAUUGACCUUUAUAGUGCAUAGAUGUAUGAUUGACCUUUAUAGUGCAUAGAUGUAUGAUUGACCUUUAUAGUGCAUAGAUGUAUGAUUGACCUUUAUAGUGCAUAGACCUAUGAUUGACCUUUAUAGUGCAUAGAUGUAUGAUUGACCUUUAUAGUGCAUAGAUGUAUGAUUGACCUUUAUAGUGCAUAGAUGUAUGAUUGACCUUUAUAGUGCAUAGACCUAUGAUUGACCUUUAUAGUGCAUAGAUGUAUGAUUGACCUUUAUAGUGCAUAGAUGUAUGAUUGACCUUUAUAGUGCAUAGACCUAUGAUUGACCUUUAUAGUGCAUAGACCUAUGAUUGACCUUUAUAGUGCAUAGAUGUAUGAUUGACCUUUAUAGUGGCAAAGUCACUGUCUUUGUAUUGACUCCAAGCCUCUCUGUCUGAUAUUUUAGAGAACAUUUGGUACUGUCUGAUUAGAAUAGGAAGGUUCUGUCUCCAAGAGCCCCGUUGGACAUUUUCUAUGCUUCUGUUCUGGAGGUGUCUCCCUGAAUGAUUGUAUUAAACUGGAUCGAUCUGAUUGAUAUUA